UCCUUCAGAAAGAUGCAAUCAUUUAUGUUUGAAUAUGAUUGCAUCCUCUGAGGGAGA
rnacentral:pre_miRNA from 1 species